rnacentral:sRNA from 1 species
UGCUGAUGCCUUUCAGAUAUUUCUGAUUUGUUGGUGGUACGUGAGAGUGUGUUCGUUCUAUACUUUUUGUGUGUUUAUUUUUCUUGUUGCUGCGAAAUAGGACGGGCCAAUAACGCCAAAAAUAUUAAAAGGAUUUACUUUUUAACACAAGGACAAGACGACAACAACCACAAAAUCAAGCUUUAUAACAAAACAACAACAGAUGCGGGGUGGAUGAAAAAAGGGUAAAAUUGGAAUCAGUGUUGGCAAAAGGAGGAGAAAAUAAAUAAAAGCAGGGUUGUGAAAAUUAUGGUACAACUUAGUUAAAAACGCGCGACAUAAGGCACGAAUAUUGGCAUUAAAAUGAAUAAAUAGAUAACAAGCGCAAAGCACUAUAGACAAGAACUCUUUUCCCGUUAUAUAACAAAAGUUAAUAUUUUAAAUUUGUUUCUAAAAACUUUGGUGCAUCGGAGCUAAAAUUCUCGCAGACAUACAUGUACGUCGUCCGAUAUUGUUCAGGGAGCUCCCUGAAAGCAUCUUUGCAUUUUAUUUGUUUUGUCAAUUUUCGUUCCUAUCCAUUUUCUUUGCUUUGCGAUUAUUUUAGGGCUUUCUUUUAUUGUUGAGACUUGAUUUCUUUUUGUAUUCUUUCAUAAAAAACUUGAUUUUGUUUUUGUUUUCAAUGACGUCAUUAACACUUUUGCUAAAUCACAGUAUUUCGCUUUUUUUUAAUUCUAUUUUGCAUGAACCAUAGAAUUUUUUGUUGUAUUUUUUUAUUAUCAUCAGCUAUUAUUUUUUGUCGCACAUGAACUUGAUAAAAUUGCGUGAGAAAUAAGCAUGAUUUGCAAGGUACGGCAGCAAAUAGCCGCCAAGAAUUAUGCCAACUUGUAAAAAUGGUCAAUGUCUAACUUUUCCAAAAAUCCAUUUCGAGUUGACAAUGAGCUUGAUAGCACACCAGUUUCCCUUUUUGUGUCCAUGUUAUAUUUGAAAAUUAAAUAAAAUUUAUGAUUUUUCCAUGCUCAAAAAUAUAAUCACACGGCGAGAAAAUCCAAAA